rnacentral:rRNA from 1 species
UACGAAGGGGGCUAGCGUUGCUCGGAAUUACUGGGCGUAAAGCGCACGUAGGCGGUUUCUUAAGUCGGUGGUGAAAUCCUGGAGCUCAACUCCAGAACUGCCUUCGAUACUGGGAAACUUGAGUUCGGGAGAGGUGAGUGGAACUGCGAGUGUAGAGGUGAAAAUUCGUAGAUAUUCGCAAGAACACCAGUGGCGAAGGCGGACUCACUGGCC